ACUGCAGAAGGGUUGGUUCUAUGCCCUUUAUGCACAGUAGGCACCGCUGCUGCCUGUCCCCAGCAUGGCACGAGUUGGGGACCAUGAGUGGUGAGGACCUCUUGUGGUGCCUCUCCCUGAGCUGCAGGCACAAAGGUUGGAUUUCUUCCCUAUGGCUGCGUGAAGAGCUGCUGACUGCUCCACCAGGAACUGAGGCAAUAAUCCCAGCUUGUUGUUCUCCUUCUCAUGGGAGACUUCUUGUGCAAAAGAAGCAUCAGUAGAAUGAAUCAAACGCUGCGGUAGUGGCCCCAUUCCCACGUGCUCUGUGUGCUCUUCCUCUCGACUCACCGGUGAGGAGGCGGUAUCAUGGGGAGGCUGUUCUGAAAAUGCUUUUAAUUGAUUUAAUUCAUAGCUGUGUUGGAGCAGGAAGGUGUUCCUUCCUUGUGCCCGGGAAUGGCAGAAUGUCCUCCAGCUGCCCCCAGAGAUGCAGCGCUGUGCCUGGGUAGCACUGUCUUGCUGCUGGCCAUCCAUGCCAAGCCUGGGAAUGAAAGCUUUGGCAACAGCCUGGACCAAGCUCUGGUAUCUUCCUUAUCGAGAAGCAUGCUGAUUACUGCAGACAAAUUGGAGAUGAACUUGCCUCUAGAGCCCAACGUGUUUGUGAAAUGAAUUGCAGUUACAUGGGGAUUUAUUAUUUCUGCAAAAGAGGCUUUCUUAUCAUGAUUUUUCCUUCCAUCUUGGACUCAUCGCUACCAGACCAGGAACCUUCAAACAGAUGUGUUUGGAGCCUUGAUGUGGGCUCACAGUGGCUGGGAAUCUUCUUGUUAUUCCUACGAAAAACAGACUCCAGCUGGAGGGGAAGAAGAGCCUCCAGCAUUAGAGAUGACCUAAACAGCACAUGUUGCAAAUGAGAUGGGAAGUGGAGAACUGCUUGAAACAUCUCUGGCCCUUUCAGCAGAACUGUUUUCCCUUUGCCUUCUCAAGGCUGAGCUGCAGACAUUGCAAGAAUGACCCCAGCAGACUGCUGCUGUUUCUGUUUUGCAUGUUCACAAGGCAGCUUCUGAAAUAAGUUUGCACACUGUUGAUCUUGCACUGGACAGCCUCACAUCAGGUGGCAGGGAAGCCCUUGCUCAUGCUGCCCUGACCCUGCUGCUCUUACUUCCCAUGCUGAUGCAUCAGUGCAUGAUGUGGCUGGAAAUGAGGUGGUGCAGGGUGGUCUCCUUGGGUUUUGCAGCUGAAAUAGGUUACUGAGCUCCUGAAGGCAUCCACCAGGAUUGCUAUGGCCUGGAACAGCCCUAGGAAAGAUGCUCUGCUUCAAGCUGGGGUUGUGCUGGUGGUGGGAGCUGGGGAUUUCAAAUCUUCCUACAGUUGGAUAUUUCAACCAAUGGCAUAAAUAAUGGAAAGCCUUCCAAAAGAAUGCCAUCCUAAGGGCUGUUCCCCUAAGAAGAAAUGCAGGUCAGGAAAUACAUUGGCCAUAUGAGUUUGUGAGUCCUUUCAAUUGUGAACAGUGCACUAAUCAAGGUUUGGCUAAUGGGUAUGCUGGGAUAUGCACACAGAUAUGCUCUUCUUUUGAGUCUUUCUCUUUACCUUUCAACCCCUGAAAUCAUCCAAGCUGCUAACACUCUGAGGAGGAUGAUGCAGCAAAAAUAAUAGGUUUAGCAAGAAGCAGAAAAAUGAGAUUAGCAUCUGUUUUUCUGGGAAAAAUAUCAACUUUUCCUGCUUAGAAAAUGAAUGGGUUGGAAACCAGCUUGUAAAACUCGAAGCCUGACUCAGGCACUGAUUUGUCACGGGGCUGUCACCUGCAGUCACUGUUAGAGAGGAGCCCUCAAUGUUCUGUCCAAAAGGAACGAUUGCUGUCUGAGUUAUUGAUGGAUUCGUAUGUGGGGAAGAGCAAAUCCUGGUCAAGCUGGAGGACUUUUGCACACAUUCAGCAGCGAGGCUGGAAGUAAAGCUGAAGUUGCGUGGCAGGAUGCAGGAGGCGGAGCAGUGCAUUGAGUUGCAUGACGCCAGGCAGCAGGAGGUGUGGGCUGCCCACUACCUGUUCCUGGACAGCAUGGCCAGGAGAUGGAGAUAAUCCCUCUCACCUCAUAGUGCACUGCUCUUCCACAUCAUUCCCCUGCUCCUACUCAUACCUCCUCAUGCCAUCCAACAUAUUUCGUCCCAAUCCUUUGCCUUCACACCCUUGAAACCCUUCCAGGCUGCUAUAGUGUCCCUUUCUCCAACUCACCUCUCCAAACCAAGCCAUACCCCCAGGCUCCAGUCCCAUCCCAUAAAUCAGUCUCUCCAAGGCCCUGACCGUAUUCUGAGAUUUCCAGGGGCUGUGCGGCUCCUCCUGGGCUCACAUCUCUUCUCCCUGCAACAAUAAAAGGCUGGAGACACGCAGCGGGGUGAGGCUCGGGUUUCUGGGCUCGUUUUAUAACUGGUGCUGGGGAUGCUUUGCGCGGAGCCCUCCAUGCGGUGAGGAAGCGGGGCAGGACAUGUCGAGCAGAUGGCAAUUCUGGACUGCAGAUGAGGGCUGAGUUAUGGCGCUCGCAGCACAUCUUUGAUACACGUCCAGCUUUUAUCAGAUGGUUCCACUCAGUGUUUGGCACAGCUGAUGUGAAGGGAAGGCCGAGGAGCAGACCUGCAGUGGGAGCAGCCCCCCAUCCCUAGGGCUGUCCCCCUCUGUGCGCUGAGCUGGGACUUCCCCUGCUUCUCCCACUCCUCCGGUACUGACACAGCUUUAUCCUGCAUACAAAACUGCUGAUAUGCUUAAAGCUCCCCUAGGCUGCACAGGCUCUUCUCCCUUUGCCACAUCAGCGCGUGUUGCAAGCAGCUGGGAGGAUGGAGAGCAUGUGAGCAUUUCUUGGAGCUAGAAGGCUCCGCUCCUCGGGUUUUGGCUUCAGAUGACCCACUCUUCUAAUACACUCUGCACUUAAUUCACUCUUGCCAGUGCAAAUGCUCUUAUUUAUGAGGUUGGUAAUCACUUUCUAUCAACACGCUCUGGAAGUCUGCUUCACCCACAGAACAUUCCUUCAAUAAAUCCUCCCCAUGAAUAUUCCCAGCCCAAGCUGAGCCCAACGCCUACUUGUGGUGUAGGAGAUGCUUUCAAAGGACUCUCACUGAGUUGGGUUGGCUUAAAGCACACCUCAAGCCUUGAUGCAAGUGGACCCAGGUAAGCUCACAAGAAGGAAACCCAAGCCUUUCCCAAACUCCUUGGAAACACUGAGUUUGGUGUCUUCUUCCUCCUUAACUUAAAAGCCAAGAAAUGUCUGUGCAGGAGAAUCAAUCACAUCACAAAGGAACCUUCUGGAUCCCAUGAAUGCCCAUUCUUUAAGCCUUAGAAUUUUACCCAUCCCCCUUUCAGGAGGGAAUGCAGAUAUGUUUUCCAUUGGAAAUAUCCCCAGGGUCUCAUGCCUCAUGCUGAGCAGCAAUCCCUGUGUCAAUUAAAAUGUGUUAUUCUGUUGAGCUCACCCUUGGGUCGAGCCAUAGGGCAGCAGAGGUCCAUGCCAGGACAGCGCCAAUGAACACAGAAUGGAGCAUCUUUAGCUCAGAGCUUUCUGCUCUGUAUCUUUCAGCUCCUUCAUGGACCAACCAGAGCCCAUAUUGAUGCCAUUUACUCAGCUGUCAAGUGGGUUUUUUAUCCUAAUGCUCCACGGUGGGGAAAUAGGAACCUGCAAUGAACUUGCUUCAAAUCGAGACAUAUUUAACUCGAAUAAACCAGCGGCCGGGCUGAAUAAACACUGCAGGCACUUCAGAAAGGAUGUUAAGUUGACAUAAGAUCUGUUGGGUGAGUUCAAGAAAUGGGAGAUUUGAUGCUGAAGUCAUAAAUCUGCUGGGUUAAAAGGGGGAUACUGCUGAGCUCUGCAUCUCAGUGAGAGACAAAGGCAGGAUGUUUGCUGUCCCAGUCUGUGGGCAGCAGGUUUCUGUCCUAUGGCAGCUGCUGAGGAGUGUGGGCUUCAUCUCCACCGCUCUCUUCAAAGCCGAGCAGGUUUUGCUGACAAAAGCUGGCACACGGACAUCAUGAAGAGCAAUGAAGAGCAGGGCUGCUGUGCCAGUGUUGCUGGUUCCAGCUGGGACAGCCCCAUGAGUUGCUGGGAGCUGAGGCAGCACUGAGCCCCUUGGCUCUCCGGAGGCACUGUGGCAGGGAAACAGCUCUCUGUGUCCUUUUCCAAAGCACAAGGAUAUGGGUGCAGCUGCAGAAACACGUAUUGCCCUCAGACUGUACUCUGCAUGGAGCACCCGCUGGUACCCCAUCUCUGAAGGCACACUUGGGAGCCUGAAACUGCAUUUGGCCCCAAUCUGAGUAGAGCAAAAUCGUGUGCAGUACUGAAGUCCCAUUUAAUUUCUUAGAGUUGUUGCAAUGCUCCUAGGGUUGGCACAACUCAGGCUGAGUGGAAAGGAAGGUAUGGAUGUGGCUACGGUUUCUGCCUCCAGCUCCAGCUCUCAGGUCUUGAGGAAGAAGGUUAUGCUUCCUCUGUCCAGUGUGAUGCAUCUGGGGCUGCUCUGAGCAGAACACGCGCCACGUCCCUGUGUGUUCGCUGCCGGAGGGACUCAGUGGGUCAAGGGGUGAGAGCUUACCCCAGCCUGAGCUGAAGGAUCGCAGAUGUUUCAUAUUUCUGCUCCAAAGAGAGGGAGAGAGAAGCUGCAGAGAAGACUGCAAUAUUUUUUUUCAAUACAUUCCAUAUGUUUCCUCCAUAAGUCAUGAUUAAAAAGUGGUGCUGGUCCAAAUAGAAAUAAGCCUGCAGGCUUUUCUGCUGCUUUUGGAGGAAGAAGCAGACUCAGUCUGAUUCACCCCUAAGGGGAGAAGGGCUCUGAGCUGACUUGAGAACACGUUUCCAUUGGACUUGUCAUCCACGCUGUCCCUGCUCCCAGCAUUGCUGUUGUCUUGGCAAGAAGCACUUCUCAGCCCUGGCUCCAGCUUCCUGGUGGAAUACACCAAAUACUUGUCCCCAGGUGCCUGACAUCAAUGCAGGGUGCACAACCCAUUGUUACGGGACCAGAACACACAGGGACUGCAAAUGACUUAUUUCCUUGCUACCAUUUCCACUCUGCUCGCUGAGGUCCAAACACUGCAGAAAAAAAUGGCAGGUUCGGAGGGAGGAGGAAAACCCAGCACCCACGAGGGGAAGGAAUUUGCUCUCUCCAAAAGGCCACGCUUGGUAUAAUUAUGCCAGCCAAACGUGCACAGAAGCCUUCAGCAAUUCCUGUGGUAAUCGUUUCAUAUGUGUGGGAUUUUUUAGGCUGGAGCAUAAUUACGGCUAAUUGCUGUUUGAUUUUGUUCCUGUUUAUAUAGCCAGUAAGGGAGUCGUUGAAAUGUCUUUACUGAAAGACUUUCUCCCUUCCUUUUCCUUCUCUUUUUCUUAAAUCAUCCUGGAAAAGAAAAGAAGGGAUCGUGUUGCAACACGGUGAGUUGUGAAUGGCCAUCAGCUGUCCAACAUCUCACAGCAAAGAGCCACGUUCAGGACUGAUGUUUUCCCAGCACUGGGAACUGAUGGUGCGCUGAUUUGCAGAACUAACGAGGACUUGCAAAGAUCUUGGCUGUUGGUUAAUGAAACCCUCCUGGGCAGGAGGCUGAGGCUGAAUUUAUCUGGGGAGAUGGGAGGAUCUGGACUGCUUCUUGCAGUCUGUUCACUAGAGCCCACGGAGAGAGAAGUGGAGCUGGUGGGGCUCAGCACAGCUCCACCACCAGGAGCUCCUCUUGGCAUGGCCAUUGCCUUUGUCAUGCCUGGUUAUCUUUUCUCAGCCCUGGUUCUUAACAUAGUUGUCCCACAGCAUGACUCAAUGGGAAUUAGGCAUCAAGUUUGCUCUGAAUGUUGGGAGUUUCCAUGUUCAGAUGGCCUGCAGUGAAGCCAGAAGCCAGAUGAUCCCUACAUCGACCCAUCCAAACAGACCUAUAUGUCUUUGAGGCUUUACUUUUCUUUUGGAAAAUUGGCUGUAUGUUUGGGUGCUUGCGCUCACGUUGCCUUUAAACGCAUCCUACCUCACUUGAAUGCAAUGUUCCUCCAGAUGGAGGAGAGUCAGCAGCUCACGGAGGCUGUGAUAUUCUCAUUCCUGAGCACUGCAUCCUUCAGAGGGGACCGAGAACACACGAAAACUCUCUUGGCUGUGGUCAGCCCUCAGCAGCUGCCCCAGCCCCGUGCCAGACACACGCUGGAUUAGAGGGUGCAGGGUGCUGUUGCUAUGGGACAAGGUGGAGGGAGCAGGCAGGUGCCACUCGUAGCCCUCUGCUAUGGAGAAUGCAGAUCUUGUUUGCUCUGCUUUUUUUUUCUUCUUCUUUUUUUCCAUUUUAAUGCUCUUUCUAUCUGGCUUCUGCCUCUGCUCCAGGAAGCCAAAUUAGCUCAUGGUCUGAGGCUCCAGCACUGAAUAUAAGCAGAAGCAAGCUGACAUCAGCUUGAAAUAGAAGCAGUAAUAGAGCUGUUUACUGUCAUGUUUCACUUUGACGAUUCAAAGGAGCAGGAAACAAUCCCAGGGCAUUGGGCACUCACACAGCCACCAAAAGCGCAUCCCUGAACCCAACUGAAUCCAUCACAAAGGCUCGGGAGCAGCAAAGUGGGGGGAGUUUUAGUGCAAGCGUGCCCAGAACACUUUAAAAUCCAUCAGAUUCUUUGCCCAAACACCAUCUCUGUGUGCUCUGAACCAACAGAGCCAGGAAUCUGGUAAACCAAGCACUUUGGCUGUGCCUGGGCUGUAGCCACACAAGUGUAAGACAUCACCUACAUCCUUCACAUGGUGUUAAUUAACAGCUAUGUAUGGGGCUGUGCUUCUCAGCCUGACCGAAAGCUGGAAGCCCAAGUCUCGAAUUCUCCCGGCCAGGAUGCAGCAUUUGCUCAGGGAAUACCAAAGAAAGAUGGAAAAGCAGCCCCACAGCUGCCUGCUUGUGCCUUGGGCAGAGCCCUUGUGGCUGCUGGUUGUCUCUGGAAGCUGCUGCCUCCCCCUGGCACUGCACUCUGCAUGGUAUGGAGUGUAUUUUUAACUAGGAAGAUAAUGAGACAGUGGCAGCUCCUCCCUGCAAUUCUGUGUUUGGAAAAUUUCAGCCACGGUGCUUGCAGGUUAAAUAGCAGGCAGAAGGAGAAUGAGCUCUUGAUUAAAAUAUGUCUAGACAGCCUUCUGUGUUUUUAAGUCCUAAUUUAGAGGACCGAGGUAGGAAGGGAUUUACAUCAUUUCCAACAUCUGACCCGUUGUUUCUGAUGGUGGUAAGACAGCUGGCACAGCCAGCCCUCACUUUUACCUGCAGUCUCAGGACAUUCAGUGACUGCAGCCACGUGUGUGGCUAUGGAAGAACUCUUCUUUUGUGACAACAGGAAAUACUCAUUUCUAAUGGUCGCAGAGCAAGUGAGACCCAUAUGAACGAUAUUAAGUUUGGCGUUCCAAGCCAUCUCAUGACUUUGAAGGCUUAGUCUAGGCCUUGGGCACGCAUAUACUCCACUGCAAUUAUCACUGGCACUUGGCUUGAUUUGGAAAUCAAGCUCCGUAAGAGUCCUGUCACUAAAAGCUGUCUCUGAGCCUGCAGUUUCCAACCACCACCAACACAGCUCUGACAAUCAGCUCCAGUGCUUUCAGCAUUUGCACCACUCAGCCACGCAUUUGGCUCCAAGGGCUCAAAGCGACGCGAGCUCACUGUCAGACGCAGUGUGAUGGAAGGGCUCUACAGCUGUUGCCCUCACAUUUGAUAGCCAGUGUUGGCUUUGUUGGGAAAAGAGGAACUGAAACUCUUCAGACUCUACCAAAAACAAGAAGCGACAUUUGGGUGUAUUUUGAAGAAAUACAGAGAAAAGAGGUAUUGGACUGUUUGGGCACCAAAUUGCUUCUGCCAAAAUGUAUAUGUCCUGUGGCAGCAGAUUGCAGUGCCACGAGGCAGGGAGCUGCUGGGCAGGGCUGUGUGCUGGACCACGGGCAGCAGGUUUCCACAGGGCUGCUUGGAAGGGCUCUGGGGAAUCAAAGCAAGGAGAAGGAAGGGAGACACCAACCGAGUAAAGACUGACUCAGAAUGAACCCCCAGAAGGGCUCUAAGUGCAACACUGCAGGACCUUCUUGACCCUUUGCAAUUGUUGCCGUGACCAGAUGCAUUGAAAAGGUGACAGGGUAAGAAAAGUGAAGACUUUGGAUUUGAAAUGAUUUGGAUUCCGUUAACUUUAGUGCCUCCUUCUCCAGAAGGACUCCAUCCUCUGAGUGUGUAAGCAGGAUCAGGGUGAGGAUGGCACUGUGCAUCUGGAAUAGCACUUCACAGUGGUUCUGUGGGGGCGGUGGGACUUGGAAACUUAAUGAGAAACACAAGCUUGCAGAAAGGGGGUGGGAAACCGGGUUAGAGAUACAGCAGGGCGGUUUGCAUUCAGAUCGCGGGAACUGAGUAAGUUUCUGAGCUAGAGAUGUUGUCAGCUCCUUAAUGACUUCUCCAUCCAUCGCCCAUUACGUUGGGUCCGAUGCACUUAAGAUGUGAGUCACUGCUCCAACCCUCACAGGGUGACAGGACCCGGGGGAGCACAUGAGAGGUGCUCAUUCUGUGGGUGGCUGCUCUGAGCUCUGUCUGUGUCAUCACAACGGGAUCAUUCUAAACCAACAGAACCCCAGUGUGUUGCUACGGGCAGGGCAGCCCAGGCCAUUAGGCAGGGCUUUAUUUUUGGAUCUGGGUCUUGCUUUCAAGCUUUCGGCAUCCUACACUUCUUUCAGCUGGGGAUGGUCCCAUUUCCAAGAGGGGAGCUCAUUUGAGAGGCAGACAAUCUUCCCAUAGCCAUUGCCACUUGGCUGUCUGCAUACUUCAGCCCAUCACUCUCCCUGCUCCCAGUGAGCAUCUCUGUCAUCUGAAAGCUCAGAAAUCAAACUUUGAACUGAAUAAAAGCCCCUCCCCCUCCAACAUUGACUGAAAUACUCUUUAAAAACAAAUCCUUAUAUAUUCUAAACUCAAAAACAUCUGGGUUUCCAAGCCCCAGGAAAUUACAGCUCCCAUUCUGGAAAUAAAAUACAUGUUUGUCCAUAGAUUGCAUUAAUUAAACCCCAUAAUAUGGAAAGAAGCCGGUAAAAUUCUUUCCUGAUGGCUGGCAGAUUUGCAUAGCAAUUUCUCAUAUUGCUCAUUGCAAUUAUUAUUCUUAUUUAAAGGGUGACGUUUUCCUCCAUGUCAGUGCAGGAUAGGAAGAUCAAGAUCUCUCUCAGUGACCAAGGGAGAAGAACUUUUGGUCCACGUGCGUGUCUUGCAGUGGGGGAUCCCAAAUGAAGCCCCAAGUCCUGCAGCUCCUGGAAAUGCCACAUCAGAAACAUUCCUGCUACUGGGAAAAACACUUUGAAGACCGGGAAAACUGCAGACUUCAGUUGUUCUUUGUGGCUUCUGCAAUUUUUUCCUGGUGAGGUACAUUGCACGGAAAACCGUCGUGCCCGAUGUGGUCAGCAUUCUUAUUUACCAUAAGCAGAGCAGUUACACAUUGUUAAAUUAUUAUUAGCUUAGCUACCACUGGGAGGGUUGCCUCAGCCCUGCCAGCAGGGCUGAAACAAAUACCCACUGUUGCACACAGUCAACCAGCAAUGAGUUGCAUGGAUGCCCAGAACAUGUCUUGCUGCACGGCUGUCCCCCCAGGCAGCAGCCCUUGAGGAACACAGGCUGAGCUGGGAUCUCUUGCAAUGGGAUGGGUUGAACGUGUGGAUGCUUUGGAGCUGAAUCUGAAUGUUCUCAGUGUGAGCCUUCGUUCACCCGUUGUGUCAGCCCAUCCAAAGCUGAAGAAUUCACUGCCAAAGGAAAUCUGGAGCUAAAUUCUCAAUUCCAAGCUCUGACGCUGGCAAUAUUUGCACCAAGAAACCUGACAAAAUUCAGGAAGUUUUUUAUGGCCGAUUCUUUCUGCCUGGAUAGAGCUCAUGCCAACAACAAUAUCAGCUCUGUGAAAGAAUUUUAUGGUGUUUUGCUGUGCCUGUGCCAUGGGAAAAAGGGGCAAGGAUGGAUUUUACGGGGUGUUUGUAGAAGGACGAAGAACAUCAUCCUCACCCAAAGGGCAGCCAUCAAAGCAAAGCUGUGGCAGCAGGCAGUUCUGCUCAGCCUGAACGUGCAGGGAGCAUCCCAUGGCUGGGAGGUGACUGCAGCCUCCACAGCACUGCUGUAGGCAGACAGCUGAGACGUGGCAUUCUGCACAAACCGGUGGCUGACUCCAGGCUGGGCUGCAUCCCCCAUCCCAGCACCUCAACACUGACCCCCCCAGGAUUGCUCAGCAAUUAACUGUGCGCUCCACGGGUGAAAUGCGUGAAGUCUUGUGACAGCCACCUCGUCCCACAAGGCAGGGGGUGCUGAGAAAGACAAAACAACCCGCUCCCUCUCCUCUCUCAUUAAAGCAAAUGUCAUCGGCUGUGAUCAGCCUCUGUGUACAUGCACACAGCCAGCAGGAGAAAAUCAAACAUCAAAAGGGAAAGAAAAGAAAAAGAGACCCGAACAGGAUAUUGACAUCAUUGGGAGCUCUGCGAAUGGAGAUGAAAUGUAAAAUGAAGUUGCAAUCUGGCUGAUAGAAGUUGAGGACACGUUAACCCUUGGGCAGACCCGCUGCUUGCAGGGGUGGGAGGAGAGCUGCUUCCAUGGGCACCUGGGCUGCGAUUUGCUCUGGAAUGUGGGAGGAAUCUGACACCCAAAUUGCUUGGGAAGUUGGACACGUCCUGCCAUGGGCUGCUCGGGAAUUGCCAGUUCUCAUUAAUCUCUGCUGUGGAUCUGACAAGUCAGCUGGAGGGAAAUGGUUCAUUUCAUUUUCUUCUCAUCGAGAUUUUCCCACCGCUCUUUCCCUCCCCGUCUGUCCCACUGAUGAGGCAAGAAAAGGAUGACAAAGCAGAAAGCGAGGGAAGAUGCAGGGUGAACGUUUCCGCCGGGAUGUUUAAUGAUGAGAAAGGAAAGAAAGCACCAAAAGAAGUUCCUGACGGAAAAUUCCUCGCAGCUUUCAUGUCACAGCCCCUGACCUUCAGCUGCCCAUAAACGCCCUGCAGCCACCCCCAGCACGUUCCCAGCAGCCCGGUGGGGCUCUGCAUUGAGCCACCCUUCCACCAGCAAAGCUCAGACUGGGAAUUCAAACCCCAAAUCCGGCUGUGGGGUGCCAGCAGCCAAACACAGCCUGGUUCAGCACCCCGUGCUCUGGUACCCCAAGGGGCCAUCAUUCACCACCACAUGUGAUGUGUGGUGUGGGCACACACCUUCAGAAACCCUCAAAACCAAAUAAGAUAUCACUGUCGAUAGGAGUUCUGUGAAUAGAGAUGAGGUAUAAAAUCGAAACAAGUAUUUCCUUAUGGUCUUUUUUGUUUAUUUACUUGGGGAAAUAACCAUGCACGGAGCUGGCAUUAAGGACUGGCUUUUCAGGCACAUUUUUAGCUAACAGAAUAAAGGGAUUUAUUUCUGCAGUGAAGAAACAGAGGAAUAACUUGUAAAGGCACUGUAAUUCCAUCCAUUUGGAGCUGACUGUAGCUCUGAAGCAGCCGCAGAUAACUUAAGAUGUUGCAAGUUCAGAAGGGAUUUUUAUCUCUCUGUUUGGAGAAGCAUCGCCUUGACUUCAUCGGCACAAUCUCAGUGUGAGGCUGUAGUUUAAAUAACAGGAAGGAAGAGCGGCUGCCCCGGGUCCAAGUUUGCCCCAGGAUUUGGGAUAAAGGCCGGGCUGCCAAGCAGGGGGUCCCAAACCCCAUAGCAGCCCCAUCCCACGUGCUCUGGGGCUAUGGAGGGAUGCGGGGGACGGUUGGAUCAGAACAUCGCUGCCAUCCAGGGGAUCUGGGCAUGAAGUGUACAGGGAAGCCCUGAUGGAAGAAAACAGAGCAAUGCCAUGCUGAGCUUCCCAGAGCAGAGCAGGGUGAGCAGGUCCUGGCCCUGUGCUGCAGCCCCACUCAGACCAGUCUAUGUCUCGGUCGCUGUCUGCUCCCUGUGCCAGCUGUUAACCAGCACCACUUGCUCGGCCUGAGCUGACCCAGCCAAUACCUGGAAUUAAUGAAACAAAAAGGCCAUGAAGCAAGGAGCUGUUGUUACCUAAUGUGUCUCAUCCCCUGAGCAACGUGUCCAUCAGCACGGUGCUGCGCAUCAGGAGGGGAAGGCGAUUUGGGUGCCUCGCUGUGUGCUCAGCAGCUCGGAUCCCCUCUGCUGCUUCACCUUUCUAACCUGCAUCUCUUCUGCUGUUUUUAUAGAAACAGCCUCAAUUAUUCCCACCCUGUUCUAGCAGGCCUAGGGCCAAGCUGCUUAGCUGCAGGUUUUCCUGCUCGUGAACAGCAAGCAACACCUAUCCACGCAAUGCAGAAGAAGCAUCCCAGUGGGUUUGCAUUUGCACUUUGCUAAAGACAGUGCUUUUGGGGCUGAAUUUCACCCAGGAGAGGCAGCAGGAGACUCUGCAGUGCUCAGCACCGGGCAGGAUCGGGGCUGCACAUCACUCUGCCACUCAGCCCUGGGAUCCCAUCUGUGGGAUAGCAUAGGGCCGGUGACACGGGACUUAUGGAGCUGUGUGUUUCAACAUACAUUUUCCAAAAGCUAUUUCAUACGUUCCAUCACGCCGAGUAAUGCGCUGGAAACCAUCCAGGCUUGGGGAUGUUUCUGUAAACGCAUCAUCUCUGCCCUUCCACUGCUUUUGCUGUGAGCAGAGGGGACCCGGUGCUCCCCCCUCCUGCUGUGGGAGCUGGGGAUGCUGCGAGGACCUCUCUGCUCCUUUGCAGUGCAGCCCUUCGUUUUCACUCUGCUUUCACAGCAGCGUUUCAUAUGGUCUGUGUCUUGAUUUCCUAGAAGCAUCCCUGCACUUCUCUGGCUAUGAAAACACCCCCACGAUGUCCUGCACGUACAGACUCAUAUAUGCAGCACACACACCCACUAGAUGGCUGUUUUCUAGCUCUUUAUUUGAUUGAAUUGUUACCAGAGGGAGGUGACAUUUUCUCACAAAGCUUUUUCUACUGCAAAAUUCAGGCUUAAAGACACCAGACUGCUCAUAAAGUGUGUAUCAAACCCGCCUAUUUCAUCAGGUAGAGAAAGCAAAACAUUAGGAGAUAUUCUGGAAUAGCUGGAGAUACACCUAUAGAACCAGCAAAUGGAUAUAUGGGAUGGGUUGAAAAUGCCAGAACUGUUAGGUUGGGAUCUGUUUCUAAAGAAGAAAAAAGAGAGUAAAUCUUGGAAUGAAACCUGGAUGCUUUGUUCAAAGCCAGGCAGAUGUGUUCCAUCUGGGUAGGAGGAGGUAUUCAAAACAAGGCCUGAUUGUUUUCCAGCAGUUUCUAAAUUGCCAAAAAAAGCCAAAUCAGCAUUGGUUCUUACAGUCUGAUAUUCAAAUCCACCCUUAUUGUGCCUAAAACACAAAGUGGCCAUUGCUUGGCACUGGAGGGGCAUGCAGAGAUGUUUUAUAUAGUACAGCGAGCACAGAAUGGCACAUUGCCCUUCAGGGUCUGUUUCAUUAGAGCCAGAAGGAAAGGACAGUAAGUGAGGGUCGUGUUCCUAUUUGAAUCUAACAUUCCACCAAUGUCUUUGAUUGCAUCCAAGCAGAGGUGGGCAUUCUGCUGCGUUUUACUCUCCUGCUGUAAACAUGAAAUAUUACUUUUAAUAGAUCUUUUCCCCUCAGAAAAAGAGGCUGAACACGUGUAAUUAGAGCAACAGGCACGUGUCUGCGUUCAGGGAGACAUCCCCAUAAAGGCAGUUGGCAUUUGAGCAGUCUCGAGUUAAAUCUGAAGGCUGGAUCUAUCCAUCUCCUAUUUUAUCAUGAAUGCUAAUUGGAGUCUGAGGGCCCUUUGAUGGAAGCAACACGGCAAACACAGCGUGUACCACUUCCUCCAAUUUCCAGAAAGCAAUAGGCACGUGAAGUGGACGUUGGGUUUAAUUUAUACUGUGAGAAUCCCUCGCUGCACAAUGCCUCCGUUUCCAGAUAUUAUUAACAGAGCCGGAGCGUCCUUCCAUGUGUGCUGGUGGAAAGGAACGAUAAAUCAAGCAUGCUUCUGGGACGAUUGCAAAACCUCCGUGCAACUUGACUCACAGUCUAAAAAUGUGCUUGUGGAAUGGUUGUGGUUGCAUCACGUAGGUGCUGCAAAGCAAACACCGAUUUGGAGAACCUCCUCUCCCCAUCCUCACUUCCUUGCAGCACGUGGCCAUACGUUUUCUGCCCUCUCCAGGAGCUGCUGGAUACUGAAAGAGCAUCCCUGGGAUCGAUGGUCCUCUCCUUUCUGCUACCACAGCAGCAAGAAGGGAACUCGAACUGGGAUCAAAGAGGUUUGGUUCGGCUCCUGAGAAGAGAAUGAAGAAGGGAAGGGACAGGAGGAGCACAUCUGGAGGCUGGUGCAUGGCUGCGUGGCCUUCCCCUCCAGCGAGCAGCGUUUGGAGAGGAAAUUGCCUUGUGGAUAGCUGAUAUGGGUGUUUGCUCAGGGGGAGCGGUGCGCCCGGGCAGGGAAAGGAAAUUCCUGGAUGCCAAGUCAAAUAUAGGGAAAAGAAAGCAGAUUCUGCAAGAAUAACUAUAUGCUGGAGAGAGAAGUUGAGCAGCCAGUCGGUGGCCGGGCACUGGGUUUGGGCAUGUGGGUGAUGGUCCAAGGGUUGGCAUGCAGCACAUCCCAGUACACCAAUAUCCCAGAAUCCCCACAUCCCCAAUAACCCAACAUCCCAGCACCCCAACAUCCCAGCAUCCCAAUAUGCCAGCACUGCAGCAUUCCAGAGUCCCACUGCAGCCCUUGGGCUCCGCUCGCUGCCCAGCACUGCACUCGGGAACGCAGGCAUGGCCAUUCCAUGUGGCUGGCUCCAUUCUUUUCUGGUUUUUUCCAUUUUAGGAGCUAUCCUGCACCAGCUUCUUUAUCAGUAGUAAAGAAGAAAAAGAAAGGAAAAAGGCACAAAGUAAAAAAAAGCAAAGCAAAACAUAACCACAGCGUUUUCCGUGACCCUUCUCUGGCCUCUGCUUACACAAAAAAAUCCUGGCAUCCAUAAUGAUCAGGCCUUUGAUUGAACGACAUUUUAAUUCGGGAUAUAUUAAAACAGCAUGUUUUCAAAUGAGCGGUCCCAGAGCAGAAGGGGAAGAGCAGGCUCCCCAGAACCUCUCCAGCUUCAGAGUCACAAGCUGUGCCCCAGAUGCCAUCACGGCAGCUUUGAUAGGCAGGCCCCUUGAUUUAAAAUAGGGCAGGGGGGGGGGUUGGCUAAUUGAAACCAUUGUGUUAUGAUAACCAAAUGUCUUCUGCCUUUUGCAUCUCCCAUAGAUGGCAAUGCAUAUUGAAAAAGACAUAAUAAUGCCACGUCCGUUUUCAGGGAGAGAUCAAAGGCUCUCCUGGAAAGAGGAGCCCAGUUGUCCCCCCCAAUGCAUCUGGGCUGCAGACAGCCAGUGGUAAAGGCGACUUCAUUCAUCCGCGGGGCAGAGGAAUGCUGUCUGGGUGCUUUGAAAAGUGCAAGGGCUGGUGGAGGGAGGAAAAAGCUCUGUGUAUGGGAACAGGGUGGAUUUAUGGCCCUCAUGCUGCAAUGGGGUCCUGUGGCUUCACUGUGCAUUUUGGCACAGCUGGCGCUGCAUUACCCAGGAGGCUGAGAGUGGGCUGCAAUGGGAGCAGCAAUCACCCAAAGCAGAGUCAGUGGCACAGAACGACCAAACCCAGGGUGAGCAGCAUCCUUAGUUGCUGCCUGCAGAACGGUAGCCCCGAGCUUCCAAUACGCUCCAUGAAAGCAUCCUCAUGGGGGUUCAUUCUAUCACCCCGUCCACGGUUUCUGGGCAGCUCUGCCCUAUUUGGCUCCAGCUUGAAUUUGGACCAGAGCAGGUGGAUGGAGUGAAGCUGCCCCUGCAGCUGUGGGCAUCCUGCCUUGGUGCAUCAGGAUCAUUGUAGCAAAACGUGCACCUCAUGGGCUGCCCUGAUGUGUUGCUCUGCAGAACAUCUGCAGCUGCCAGCAGGGCUCAGGGUGCCUCCCAGGAUGUCAGGAUGCUGCUCCUGGAGGUACUGUGGAGGAAAAAGGGGCAGGUUUGGCUGAUUUUAGAAGGCAUCUAAUUGCACCAGAUGGUACGGGCAUGUUUAAUUCACCCUCCAGAGAGGCUGACCUGUGAGCCACCUAACGUGGCUUUAUUGCUUUUCCCUGCAUACCCAGCAAAUCUCUGAGUGCAAGAACUCUGCUUUGUUUGCAUGUACAAUGAGACACUGGGAAACACCUGCCCAUCGCUCAGCAGACGCUCAGCCCGCUUGCAAAUACAUUUUAAGCCAUAAUUAAAAUGACAUGCCAUCUUCUCCUCGUACUACACAAGCAGAAGUAUGGCGUAUGGCCUCCAGAAAUCCAGAAUAACUCAAAGCAGAACUGGUUUGUAUGCUUAAUCAGACUGUGUGCUGAAUGCAGAACAUAACAACAACAAAAAAAACCAAUUAAAAAAAACCCAAACAACCCCAAACCUUUAUUAAAUGCACAGCACUGAGUGGGGACUUCUGCUCAACGUUGAUUGAGACAUUGGAAAAUUCAGCCCUCGUGUUUCAUCAGCUGCACUGAAAUACUUCGGUGCAGAUGGACAGAGCCCAGAUGGCAACCUCGGCUGCGGAGCAUCUCUGCCCCAACCAUAUGCUGCUCAGAAGGGGAAGGGAUGCAGGGUUUGCUUCGUAGCUUUGGGACUCGCUGGUGCCACGUGGAGCUCAGAGCUGCUCAUUUCCACCCAACCCGCGCUAUGGUGACACGGUGGGGACGUGGCACUGCUGUCCUGCAGUGGGAAAAAGGCAUGGCAGGGAGCCAGGGAUGCACACACUGCGGCUUUGUGGGGCCACUGAUUGAGGCAGAUAGCGAUGUAAUCGGGCCAACACACACUGUCAGGGGGAGGGCUGUUUGGUACUGCGGGUUGAGCACUUUCUGCAAGAACAGGAGGGCUUUCUUUUUGAGAACACGAGAGCUGAGCAAACACCUCCAGCAGAACCUCGUGAGACAUUCCGUGGAAGGUGGCAAGCAUUGGAUGAGUAACAUUUCCCCAUAGUGCAUUAAUCAACGCCUGCUUGGCCAAGCAGCAGUCAGUGUGAGAGGAGGACGAGUUGGGCUCCCAGGCACACGGGGAACUGCUGAGACUCAGAUUGCACACAGCAGCACCACAGCGACAAAGCUGCCUUGGUUCAGCACCCAGGGGCACUGCCACAAUCCCAGCUCAGAGAUGGGAUGGGAGGUAUGGUGUGCAACUCGUUGCUGGUUCCAUGAGAGCUUCUCCAUGGCGCUCACACAGGGACAUAAAAUGUGAGGGGUGGCCUCUGUCCUCCUGGCACCGUGGUUCCCUGAGUGCAGCUCCCUUCCUUGAGCAGGAUCAGAGCAGGGCUUCGGAGGAUCCUACGCAGAGAGCAUCCUCCAAGGACGUGUUUUCAAAGGCUCUCCAUCUCCCAAAGGCUGAAUAAUCUCAAGAAAGGGCCCAGGAAGAAGUGAAAUCCUCUCCAGAACGGUCAUUUGCAAGAGUGUGUUUCCAUAACCUUGCAUUGUUACAGCAUCACAAGGAUUUGUCUCCUCUUCUGGCUCCAGCACACAUGUUCCUGGCUCCCAUGGAGGCACUGUGGACAGCCCAUGCCAUACAACGUGCCAGAAACAUGACCUCCCCAUGAACUUUGGGCCAUAUUUUCAAGUCUGCGCCCAGCUCCUUGCAGGCAGGGCUGUCUGGCCAGUGCAUUCUGGCCCUUUUGCAUGGAAAAUGAGCUGUGUCAGCCUUCGUGGCCCACUGGCUUGCCAGCUGCGUCCCUAACAGCACUUUGCAGCCUCCUCCCUCCGUGCUCAACAUGUUGCCUUCACCUGGCACAUGGGACAGCAACGAGGGGACUGUGAGCUUGUCCUCGGUGGCUGGGGCCCAGCUGGCCACCCCCAUCUCCCCACUGCAGCCACCGCACGCUCCUCGAUGCAGCAGAACUCAAUGUACAGCCCUUUUAUUUUUCCUCCUUGGUUUUCCUGUUUCCAGAACAGUUGAAUAUUUUACUUGCAUCGUGCCCCAGUUCCCCAGUUUCCAGCAGGCAGAACAGGGCGAUCUGUACCCACCUCUUGCAGCAGCUGGUGCUUGUUCCCCUGGCAAAACUUCACUUUGGAGCUGAACCCAACAAUGCUGCUGACUCCAACUGAUUCUUUCUCCCCCAGCCUAAGGCACUUUAUGAUGAUAUUAAUAACCAGACACUGAGGUUCAGCACUAAGGAUUUCUUAAGCUUGCUGCUGGGGCUGUGAUUGAGCUUUGUAGCCAUCUCUGCUUCAUCCCAUGAUCCAUCAGGGUUGGUGGGGACACCCAGACCUCUUUUGGGAAGUCCCUCCACAGCUCCUCUCUCCCAUAGCACCCAUGGGGUCAGGGGCAGACUGGGUGCUCCCAGACCUCUUUCCUGUUCUGCCCUUAAUACACCAAAGGGAGAUCUCUUGUUCGAUGGUUCUCUAUUAACCCUAUUCAUGAGUCUUUUAAUUAGUGUUGCCUUCUGCUAAGUAAUCGCUUCAGCAUUAGCUCCUCUGGGGCAAUGCAGAGCUGCAACAGGGCACUGCAGGAGUUGCAUGCUGCUGUUCUGCCUUCUGGACCUGCUCCUGCUGGCAACUAUGCCAUUCCUUUUGCACAGACCGCACAGUGCCAGAGCAGCCCACUAAAACUUGCAAAGAAAAGCAGAAAGAAGCAUCUGAAACCCCACCAGGAGCUGCGGCAGGUAGAGUUCUACCCUUACAUCUGGGAAACCUCCAGCUCAGCUCAAUCCUGCUGAUGCACUGCUAAGGGGAGCUUUGUAGUGGCCCUAUUCAAAGCACUCAGCUCUGGGGGCAUGUUUCCCCCAGCACCCAGGAGCAAUGUUUCCUUUGUCAAUUCAGGGUCCCCACCAAUCUGCAUCACCCCAUGCCUGGAGGCAGAGCUGCCAUGGCUGCCUUUUAUCCCCUGCAUCCUCCGGCAGAGCUCACAAAGUGGUACUUUGUACCAGAGCAAGAAACAAGAGACGUGAGCUGUAAUACAGGAGAGAGAGAAAAAAAAACCCUCAUCUCACCCCUUGUGUUUUUCCUGGAAAUGUCACUGCCCUUAAUGCAUCAAAUAAUUAGAAUCACUUCUCCCCUUUUGUUUGCCUUGGCCCUCACUGCUCGCAUUGAGUGGGCCAACAUAAACCUGUGCGCACCACAGGAAUUUUGGGCACAGCCCAUUCUGCAGUGCUGGGUGCAGGGGGAGAAGUGGCUGCAGGAGCUUUGGUUCUGCUCCAUAUGUCUCUGCUGCUGUGGGCACUGCUGGGCACGGAGCUCCCAUAGAGAGGACCUCACUGCAACGCUAGCGCUCAACCAAGUGCUGGUCCCUAUGGAAAUCCACUGUCCUGGAGAGAAGCAGCAGCAGCUGAUGCCCAUUUAAUGCCAAAAUUGCAGAUUUGUGUUUGACCUGAGUGGUGGGUGUGAGCGUGAUGCUGGCAGGACAGAUGGGUGGAUAGCUCUCUGAAGUCCCAGUGGGAUGUUACGCUUGUUGCUCUGUAGUUGUAGCCUUCUCCUCUGGGUGCUGGGGAGUGCUCCGAGGUGACGUGGGAGAACAUAUCCCUUGUGAAUGCUGGAAAGCUGUGCUGGGUGAGGUGGCAUUGCACCACUAAUCCACGCACAGAGGAGCCCAGCACCCCCUCAGCACCCCUUACAGACACAGAUGGACACAGCCAGCAUCACAGCCCAGCUGGCUGCCUGCCCCCAGUACCGCUCCCAUGGGCUGCAUGUAUGUCAAUGGGUUAUUAAAGAAACGGAUGGGGGAUUAGCUGUGCUGUAGGUAGAGACCCCAUUCAGAUUUGCUAAGUUUCAGCAAGUAUGUUUUCAAUAAUUGGCUGGUAUUUGUAAGAAAUGAAUAAAACCUAGGCUACUAAAGCUGGUCCUUCUCUUAUUAUAAGGCAUUUAUUGCAUGCUUAGAAGCAUAUGUCUUCAAUAUCUGAAGCAAAGGAAAGUAAUAUAUAAGGAUCCCUUCUUAAACACAAAUAUAUGCAGCCAUAAUCACAAUUAUUAGCCACCAUGAAAUAGCUAACAAACUGAAGAAGCCCCCUCAGCAGCAGCUUUACAACUGGGGGUGCAUAAGAAAUAAAGACAAAGGAGAGAAUUGCCCUCUUAGCUGUGCGAGACUCCACAAGGCAGAGGAAGGAUCAGCUCUGCUGAGGAGUGUUGGCAUCUCGGAGAAGGUUCACGGAUGAAGCCAAUGGAGAAGGGUGUGCAGGAGCGGGGCAGGGAAUUGGGAAGCAGCGCUGCUGCUGGUGGUUGUAUCCUUCUGAAGAAAGAACACUGGAAAACUAAAGCUACCUGUCACUGCUGCUGUUAUCACAGAGGUAUUUGGGAGAGGGUGAGCGAAUGUUUCUGCAGGACUGCGUGCUGAUUUAUUGGUACGGAGGGAGGUGCAGCGGGGAAACCACUGUGCGGAUCGUUGGCGAGGAGGGGCACGUGGUUCUCCAAAGAUUUUUGUCUGAAAACGCAAUCAGCUGAAGUCAGCGCCGCGCCGAGGGUCUGAGCAGAGCUCAGUGCUGCUCAAGGAGGCACUUUCAUGUAAGAGGGAAGAAAUGGGCCCUGGCUCUGUGUAUAUCCCUGUUGGUCUUCUGAACACUUCGCGUUGCGUCUUCCUCCUCACUGCACCGCCCUGAAGCACAUACAGAAAAUGAUUGCUGAAAACGGGGUGUCCGCGAGUCACAAUGAGUGCAAUUAAACCAUGGAACGGAUUCCCCAGGGAUCUCACGCAUCCUUGGCUGCUUGGAGGAGCCUCAGGGCGGGCUGCAGCAGCUCCUUCCCUUUGGUGGAGCAGCGCUGUUCCUCCUGGGAUUUGCUCCAAAUGGACAGCUCUGCUCUGCUCCAGCUGCUCGGUGGGUUUCUCUCCAGCACGUUGCUGGUUUGCACAUCGUUUCAAGCCUGCAGCUGUUAUCGGGCUGUUGGUUUGAGCGUUGUUCACUUCCAAUCCCUGCCUCAUUGCAGGGGGAGACCAUCCCUGGAGAUCCUCCCCUCUCCCAUCUCCAGGGCACCGAUCCUCAGCCACUCUGAGCGCAAUGCAGACACCACACAGCUCAGCAGGUUUCAGUGCCUCUGCCACCAACUGCGACUCAAAUCCAAAGCGAUUUGGCUUUGUUUUGUUUCUAAGUUGCUGCUCGAGCUUUCUUGGCUCACAGGCAGAUUUUCUCUUCCAAGGUUUCAGUGGUGGAGGGCUGUUUCUCUAAUCCCCAAUAGUUUGAGAUUAUCUCCAGCCAACAAUUAAUCAGAAUCAGAAUUUUGCACUGCUUGCCUGUGCUGCUGCAUUGAGUGCAUGUAAAACCCUCUUUCCUCUGAAGAAAAGCAUGUUCUACUUUCCUAUGUUGCCUCCGGUCUCUUUAGCUGUCAGGGCACUCGGCAUCACACCAGGAUGCUGAAUAGGCCAAGGGAUGCCUUAAACAUACCACUCAAACAGGCAGAAAGCGGAUUCAGGAAGGCUCAACACGAGCUGAAAGCUCACUGUUUAGGAAGCAUCUCUGCUGGGGUGAGGGUUGGCUCUUAUGGGUUUGUGUUGUGGACUCAGCACUUGGGCAGCUUUGUUUUGGUGCAUGGAAUGCUCAGAGGCGUUCUCUGAGCGUGUGUUUGGGUAAUAGCCAAAAAUGAACCCAGUUAGCUAAUGGAAAUGCAUCCUUCCUCCUGUGCUGGGACUGCGUUGCACUGAGUGCGUUGGAAACAGCACCAGAAGUGAUGUCUGACUGCUGCAGAUCCCAAACCCUCAGUCAGGCACUGCUCUGUGGAUGAGCAAGAUGGGCACAGCUGGAUCUGCUCCUCAAGGAUCCGCUGCAGGUGUGUGACUGGGGAAUUUUUCCCAACCACUCAACCUUCUGACAGGGCUUCCAUCAGCUGGAGCUGCCUCUCCCUUCCAGCAUCUCUUCAGGCUGAAAAGAAAUCAUAUUUCCUGAAGCAACACCAAACAGGGAAGUGGUGCUGCUUUGUCACGUCCAAUUUCAAGUAGCUCUUCUCCUUAAGCUGCUCACAAACAAGCGAGGAGGAUGUAACACACAGCUUCUUUCAGACACGAUUCUCUCCUGCUGAGCCCUGAUCUCUUGCUGUCUGCAGCUCUGUGCUCUAUAGAUGGCACACGAUGCCAGCUCUGCCUGGCAGCCACAAGCUGAUGGGAUUUGUAUUUGUCCCAUCACCCCAUGAGCUGUCACAGGGGUGGAUCCCACUCCCUCCUGGCACUUGCUGUCUGCUGAGGACUCCCGUGUUAUCACUGCUGUCAACUUCCAAGCUGCGUUUUAUAUGGGAAGGAAAGCUGCCAGGCUGCUCUGCGAGCCAGUAGGUAUUCUUGGAGACAAAACAUUCAGUCUGGACCCGGCGCUGGUGGUUAAGCUUUAUUUGGUUCUCAUUUCCUUGAGAACUGGAUGCUCCUCUCCAUCUGUCAGCUCACAAAGCUGGGUCAGGCCGGCUGCAUCCUCUGCUCCAAAGCAAGGACCCCAAAAGGGAUCAGCUCCCCUUGACAUCAACGGGUUCUGGAUUGGGCCCCGGGCAAAGGCUCUCAAGAACGUGCUGCAGUUUGGGAAGCGGAGAAGCUGCGGUUUAACAUGGGAAUAGUUGGAGCAAGAAAAAUGUUAUUACCAAAACUCAGCUUAAACCAAGAGUACCGCGAGGUCAAACGCUGCAGCCAGUCAGAAACACAGUGUUCUUGAGGAUUGUUAUACUGGAGUUACAGGAGACAAGGUGCUUUCGUGGUAAAUGGAAAACGCAGCUCGGCAGAGAGGAGGAAGCUGCAGCAAAUGCACUGCUGAUGUUAAGCUGCUGCCUCCCUGGGGCCAAGCAGCAGUGCAUGACUGGGAACGUCCCAUCCCUGGGUCAGCAGCUGGACACCUCCAAGGCAGGGACCCCCCAGCCCCUCUUAAAGCUCUCUUGAAUGAUCCCAUGCUGCAGAGAGUACUACUCUGUACAAACAUGUAUACAAAUGUAAGUACAUCCAUAUACUUGGCUGAGAUGUAUAAACUCUGCAAUGGACUUUGGAUGUAAGUGUGGU
rnacentral:lncRNA from 1 species